GAGGAAUGAGCCCAAAGUGAGUCCUGCCUCCAAACCCAGCUGAGGGUUGGGUUCAAAUCCUCACUGGGUCUUUGACAGCUUUGGUGCUGGGCAAGCCCUCGAUGCCCUCCCCUAGUCAGUGUCUCUCAGAGGGCCCUUUCAGCCCUAGGCCUGGCCUUCCGUGAUCUGCUUGAAAGUGUCCCCAUGACGGAAGGCAGGUUUGUGCGGAGAGUGGGGGGAAAGGGGACGUGUUGGAAGUUGGCCCCCAGAUAAGCAGUGCCCCAUGCCCAUCCAUACGGCCCUGCUCUUCUCCAGGCCCCCAGGCCAGCUCCCCUUCUCCCUCCCUUCCCCCCCACUCCGUGUUCUCGCCCCCAGCCCAUCCAUCUGUCCUCCCCACCAACGCCCUCACCUCCCCAGUGGGCUUGCUCCGACGCCAAGGAAGGCUUUCUUCUGAAGUUGAGGAAAAGAGACGAAGCGUCUCUCUGUUGCCAUGGCAACGAAAGACGGGCUGAUGCGCGUGCUCGCGCUCGGGCUGGAACCCGGGAGUCCGGAAUCCCCCCCCCCGUCCCCGCCCCUUCUGGCCCGCCAGUCUAGCGCGUGCACGCCAACAAGGCAAAGAGCGCGUUGAGUCGGUGUCGAGAGAGGAGGUCCUUCGGCUUCGCCCUGCUCCCUUGCGCACGCGCAGGCCGAGAACUCGUCCGGGAGUCGGCGUCCCGGCGUCUCGCCGGUUCCUCACUACCCAAAUGAGCACGCGCGCGGCUCCUCUCGCGCUGCUUGGUCGGCAUUCGCGAUCACCGGGCCCGGCUUUGCGCGGGUUUCGCUGUCUCCGUGGGCCCCGGCGGUCGCGGGCUCUCUGGAACUGCUCCAGAUGGAGAACCCCAAGGCCCGCGAGGGGCAGCAGAUCACCGGGCCCUCCCAGAGGUUCGCCGUCAUCACCGGCUCAGCAAGGGGACUGUUAUCAUCAAGGUGUUAUCAGCAAGGCCUCACCCGCUCCCCAGAUGCCAACCCUGACAAGCAGUAGUGCAUCCUGGCUUUGUGUGGACAGCAGAGCAGCAGAAGGCAGACCUGGAGCCAGGCAAAGGGGUCCAGGGACUCCAAGCUGUAGACCAGGGCUUCUGGCCUUGUUGAUGUCAUUUGGCAGCAAAUCCUGGCCUGUGUGCUGAAGCCAUCCCUGUGAGUGGGCCAUUCCUGUCUUGGCGUGGGGUGGGAGGAGCCUGUGGCCUCCUGGAGGGUCAUGUCUACCCUGAAAUAAAGUUGGAAAUCGUUCUUUUAGAUGGAAUCCA
rnacentral:lncRNA from 1 species